rnacentral:rRNA from 1 species
UACGGAGGGGGCUAGCGUUGUUCGGAAUUACUGGGCGUAAAGCGCGCGUAGGCGGCUUAGCAAGUUAGAGGUGAAAGCCCGAAGCUCAACUUCGGAAUUGCCUUUAAAACUGCAAAGCUAGAAUCAUGGAGAGGUGAGUGGAAUUCCGAGUGUAGAGGUGAAAUUCGUAGAUAUUCGGAAGAACACCAGUGGCGAAGGCGACUCACUGGUCCAUUACUGACGCUGAGGUGCGAAAGCGUGGGGAGCAAACAGG